rnacentral:rRNA from 1 species
GUGAGGAAUAUUGGUCAAUGGACGAGAGUCUGAACCAGCCAAGUAGCGUGCAGGAUGACUGCCCUAUGGGUUGUAAACUGCUUUUAUCAGGGAAUAAAGUGAGGCACGUGUGCCUUUUUGUAUGUACCUGAUGAAUAAGGACCGGCUAAUUCCGUGCCAGCAGCCGCGGUAAUACGGAAGGUCCGGGCGUUAUCCGGAUUUAUUGGGUUUAAAGGGAGCGCAGGCGGAAGGUUAAGCGUGACGUGAAAUGUACCGGCUCAACCGGUGAUGUGCGUCGCGAACUGGCUUUCUUGAGUGAGUACGACGCUGGCGGAAUUCGUGGUGUAGCGGUGAAAUGCUUAGAUAUCACGAAGAACUCCGAUUGCGAAGGCAGCCGGCGAGUCCUCAACUGACGCUAAUGCUCGAAAGUGCGGGUAUCGAACAGG